GUAGGCUGGGCGGGUCGAAGAGACACUUCCGCCCCUCACCAACAUGGCGGCAGGCCGGGACUGCGCAUGAGCAGCUGUCUAUGGCGAGACCUAGCUCCAAAGAGGGAGAAAGCCGUGGUGGGAAAUUGGCGGCUGAGGCGGCCUGGGCCGGAUUUAGCACUCUGCCCAAGCCUUUGAGGCAGGAGCUACAGAGACCUCCAAAAGAAGACCAGUUCCUCGGAUGAGCCCCUCCCAGAGAGAUGAAGGGGCAGCAGAAAACAGCUGAAACUGAAGAGGGGACGGUGCAGAUUCAGGAAGGUGCAGUGGCUACUGGAGAGGACCCAACUAGUGUAGCCAUCGCCAGCAUCCAGUCAGCUGCCACCUUCCCUGACCCCAACGUCAAGUACGUCUUCCGAACUGAGAAUGGGGGCCAGGUGAUGUACAGGGUGAUCCAGGUGUCUGAAGGGCAGCUGGAUGGUCAGACAGAGGGCACUGGCGCUAUCAGUGGCUACCCUGCCACUCAGUCCAUGACCCAGGCAGUGAUCCAGGGCGCUUUCACCAGCGAUGAUGCAGUUGACACGGAGGGAGCAGCUGCCGAGACACAUUACACUUACUUUCCCAGCACCGCAGUGGGAGACGGGUCAGGGGGUACCACAUCAGGGAGUACCACCGCUGUGGUCACCACCCAAGGCUCAGAGGCACUGCUGGGGCAGGCCACCCCUCCCAGCACUGGUCAAUUCUUUGUGAUGAUGUCACCACAAGAAGUAUUGCAGGGAGGGAGCCAGCGGUCAAUUGCCCCUAGGACUCACCCUUAUUCCCCGAAGUCAGAGGCUCCUAGGACAACGCGAGACGAGAAACGUAGGGCCCAGCACAAUGAAGUGGAGCGCCGCCGCCGGGACAAGAUCAACAACUGGAUUGUACAGCUGUCCAAAAUCAUCCCAGACUGCUCUAUGGAGAGUACCAAGUCUGGCCAGAGUAAAGGCGGAAUCCUGUCCAAAGCCUGUGAUUAUAUCCAGGAGCUGCGGCAGAGCAACCACCGGUUGUCUGAAGAGCUGCAGGGGUUAGAUCAACUGCAGCUAGACAACGAUGUGCUUAGACAACAGGUGGAAGACCUUAAAAACAAGAACCUGCUACUACGAGCUCAGUUACGGCACCAUGGCUUAGAGGUCGUCAUCAAGAAUGACAGCAACUAACGAUGGGGACUCGGGCUUUGGCCCUAGAACUGCAGACAGCCUGGAAGCAGCAGGCGAAUCCCGUGCCCCUUCCCUUCACUGCCUACUUCUGGCGUGGGACUCGGGGGAGUUUGGCAAGUGUGUCUUUGACCUGAGGCCCGUGGUGUGGUGGCCUGCAGUGAGUGGUGUGAAGCACGCCGCGGACACGCACCGACAGCCUUGCCAGCUCCCACCAUGCUGUCCCCGGGCCCUGGUGCCCCUUUUGCACAUUGCAUGUGCUGUCCCCUUGAUGGACCGCGGACACUAAGCCUGGGUUUGCCCUGUGCUCGCUUCGAGCGCCCAGCAGAGGGUCCGUGGGCACUCUGUGGGUCUAGCACUUGUACUGGUUCUUCCUUGCUCUGGAGCAGAAGUGAAGGUGUGCACCGGAGUCCUCUGGGGAGUGGGCUUGUUCAGGAGGUGGGGAAGGGUGCUUGGUGGCUGCUAUCCCGCGAGUAGGGAGGGCUCAGUGAGCAGCCGAGGCCUCUGCAGAAGCUUCUGGAGCCAGGGAGAACCGAACGGGCUCACUGGGAGCCUUCCCCAUCUUGGGGGGAUGGUUCUUUUUAUUUCUUUCCUUUUUUUUUUUUUUUUUUUUAAGAUAAAAUUGUUUAGAGCCACAGUUGUCCGUUUUCCUCCUUUUGUGGGGCCCUGGGGGAAGGGAGACUACAUAUUACUCUUUGACCAGUAAGGGCUGGGUCAACCUUUGGGUGGGGUGCUACUAUUUCUAUACUCAUUACCCAGAGUCCUGGUACCUGUGCCAAACCUGGAUAUCAAUUUCCGGCCUACACCAGGCAGUCUUAAAAGGUUUCAGCUGUGGGCUGGUGUUAGAGGUAUCACAGACAGGUGCUCCGGAGCUCUGUGUGUGUCCUCUGGGGGCCAUGCCUUUGCUUCCGGUUCCGGUCUUUCUGGCUGGGCUCAGGGGGACAGAGUGAGAUACUUCAGGCCGAAUUCCUGUGUCACAGUCACGCAAUUGGUACUGCUGAAACCAUGACUAGAGGUACCUGAGAACCCCCGGGUUGUGAUGGUGAGGUGUAUGCUGGUCCCGCGGGUAGGGUUGUUUGUGGAGACAAGAGCAUAGGGGUGUGGCUUCAGUCCUUAUGAACAGCGCCACAGGGUGGGGAAGCAGCCAUUGCUGGGGUACAAAGGCUGCAAGGGUCUUGUCCCCCAGUUCUCAAGUCUUCUGUGUCCUCUUUCUCAGUGUCUACAGUCUCAUUCUCUGAGCUCCGUUCGCUCCUAGCCUCAGGCAGGGCCCGGCUCUUCGAUGUUCGAUCUCGGGAGGAGGCAGCAGCUGGCACCAUCCCUGGGGCACUCAACAUCCCUGGGCUCGGAACUAUGCUGGGGCCUAUAAGGAAUGGCUGGAGAAAGAGGGCUAGGUAGAGGACUUCCUGGUUGUGAUCCUUCUCGUGGUCACCUUGCUGGGCUGGGCAAGUCAUUGUGGACCUUUGCACAUGAAAAACUCAAAUAAAGAGCAUUUAAUUAAGUA